UACGGAAGGCAGCAGUGGGGAAUAUUGCACAAUGGGCGCAAGCCUGAUGCAGCCAUGCCGCGUGUAUGAAGAAGGCCUUCGGGUUGUAAAGUACUUUCAGUCGUGAGGAAGGUGUUAAGGUUAAUAACCUUAGCAAUUGACGUUAGCGACAGAAGAAGCACCGGCUAACUCCGUGCCAGCAGCCGCGGUAAUACGGAGGGUGCGAGCGUUAAUCGGAAUUACUGGGCGUAAAGGGCACGCAGGCGGUUAAUUAAGUUGGAUGUGAAAUCCCCGGGCUUAACCUGGGAAUGGCAUUCAAGACUGGUUAGCUAGAGUCUUGUAGAGGGGGUAGAAUUCCAUGUGUAGCGGUGAAAUGCGUAGAGAUGUGGAGGAAUACCGGUGGCGAAGGCGGCCCCUGGACAAAGGCUGACGCUCAUGUGCGAAAGCGUGGGGAGCAAACAGGGAUUAGAUAC
rnacentral:rRNA from 1 species